UUUAAUUAAACAAUAGAUUAUAAUUUUGCACGAUAGUGAAAAUUAAUUAAAGUAUGAAUUAACAGAACGAUUGUUUGAAAUUUAUACUAGAUAGUAAAAACUGAACAUUAACUUUAAUAUCGCGAUAGCUCUUUAAGGUUAAUUAAAUUAUAUUAGUUUUCAAAAAGUAUUUUAUGAACUAAUGAUUGAGCGAUAGCAAAAACAUCUUAUUUAUACAAUAUAAUAUAGUCCAACAGUGUGAUGACAUGAGUUCUAUAUUUUUAAACUAGUAUCGUUUUGU
rnacentral:lncRNA from 1 species